rnacentral:rRNA from 1 species
AACGCUGGCGGUGUGCUCAGACAUGCAAGUCGAACACGAAAGUCCUUCGGGGAGCAGUAAGUGCACACGGGUGAGUACACGAUAGGUAAUCUACCUUUGGAUGGGGAAUAACACCGAGAAAUCGGUGCUAAUACCGCAUAAUGCAGCGGCACCUAAUGGUGACAGUUGUUAAAGCGGGGGAUCGCAAGACCUCGCGUCUGAAGAGGAGCCUGCGGCGGAUUAGCUAGUUGGUAAGGUAACGGCUUACCAAGGCGAUGAUCCGUAGCCGGCCUGAGAGGGCGGUCGGCCACACUGACACUGACAUACGGGUCAGACUCCUACGGGAGGCAGCAGUCGGGAAUUUUGGGCAAUGGGCGAAAGCCUGACCCAGCAACGCCGCGUGAAGGAUGAAAUCCUUCGGGAUGUAAACUUCGCAAGAACGGGAAGAAUAAGUUUGUGUUAACACCACAAGCGAUGACGGUACUGUUUGUAAGCUCCGGCUAACUCCGUGCCAGCAGCCGCGGUAAUACGGUGGGAGC